rnacentral:lncRNA from 1 species
AUUGUCGGAGGUAAUCUUGAGGUUCUGGAACCCAAAUGAUGUGGCCUUAAUAUACAAUAUGAUUGGUUAUACAAGUUUUUAUAAAGUAAAAAUUUACUUAAAAAUAUGAAAUGUUUUCAUAUUUAAGAACGGAGAGAAAAUUAUAUUUCAUUCAUAUAGAUUUUUCCAAUUAUUAAGAAAAUGAAAAAAUCUAUAUUAUAAUGAUUGAGUUUUUGCUCUCUCUUUAGGGUGUCCAUCUCAGCAUUUCAUUUAUUUUGGUGGGACUCAUCUUUAUUUUUUGUUUUAAUGUAUUAUCUAUUCGUAAAAACUUACAAU